GCAGCAUAAGACGGACAGGAGCUCGGGCCAAUCAGAGCGCGAGUUGCCUCAGAGAGAGGUGGGACAGGAGCUCGGACCAAUCAGAGAGCGAGUUGCCACAGGGCAGGGUAGGAAGGACGGGAGCUCGGACCAGUCAGAGAGCGAGUUGCCUCAGAGAGAGGUGGGACGAGAGAUCGGCCCAAUCAGAGAGCGAGUUCCCACAGGGCAGGAGAGGACGGACGGGAGUUCGGACCAAUCAGAGAGCGAGUUGCCACAGGGAAGGAUAGGACGGACGGAAGCUCGGGCCAAUCAGAGAGCGAGUUACCUCAGAGAGAGGUGGGACGGGACCUCGGCCCAAUCAGAGAUCGAGUUGCCACAGGGCAGGAGAGGACGGACGGGAGUUCGGACGAAUCAGAGAGAGAGAG
rnacentral:lncRNA from 1 species